CCCACGGGCGGCAGCAGUGGGGAAUAUUGGACAAUGGGGGGAACCCUGAUCCAGCCAUGCCGCGUGUGUGAAGAAGGCCCUCGGGUUGUAAAGCACUUUCAGUGAGGAAGAACGCCUGGUGGUUAAUACCCAUCAGGAAAGACAUCACUCACAGAAGAAGCACCGGCUAACUCCGUGCCAGCAGCCGCGGUAAUACGGAGGGUGCGAGCGUUAAUCGGAAUUACUGGGCGUAAAGCGCGCGUAGGUGGCUUGAUAAGCCGGUUGUGAAAGCCCCGGGCUCAACCUGGGAACGGCAUCCGGAACUGUCAAGCUAGAGUGCAGGAGAGGAAGGUAGAAUUCCCGGUGUAGCGGUGAAAUGCGUAGAGAUCGGGAGGAAUACCAGUGGCGAAGGCGGCCUUCUGGACUGACACUGACACUGAGGUGCGAAAGCGUGGGUAGCAAACAGGAUUAGAUACCCCUGUAGUC
rnacentral:rRNA from 1 species